UACGUAGGUGGCAAGCGUUGUCCGGAUUUACUGGGCGUAAAGCGCGCGCAGGCGGCACCUCAAGUACCCUGUGAAAUCCACCUGCUCAACGGGUGGGGUGCAGGGUAGACUGAGGAGCUAGAGAGAGGUAGAGGGGGGUAGAAUUGCCGGUGUAGCGGUGAAAUGCGUAGAGAUCAGCAGGAAUACCCGUGGCGAAGGCGGCGCCCUGGUCCGUUACUGACGCUGAGACGCGAAAGCGCGGGGAGCGAACGGGAUUAGAAACCCGAGUAGU
rnacentral:rRNA from 1 species